GUUUGCUUCGACAGUACAUAUACUAAAAUUAGAAUGAUACAGAGAAGAUUAGCAUGGCCUUUGCACAAGGAUGACAUGCAAAUUUGUGAAGCAUGAAAUGUAAAG